UGUGCAACUCAUGAUCAGAGAAUCUUGAUUCUCGAUCACAGAGUUCCAGACACGUAGGACUCAAAGUCCAUAAGCAUUAAGACUCUUCAUCAGCCAUCAGAUCAGAUAGGAACCUCUAAUGUGUGUGAUCCCGCAGGUUCGAACCUAAGUCGGUAGCACAGGAACCAAUUCCUGUACUAAUCGAAGUGACCAUCUAGCAAUGGUACCCAAUAUCCGGAU
rnacentral:lncRNA from 1 species